CCCUACGGGGCGCAGCAGUCGCGGAAACUCCGCAAUACACGAAAGUGUGACGGGGCUAUCCCGAGUGCCGUCCGCUGAGGAUGGCUUUUCCCUAGUGUAUAAAGCUGGGGGAAUAAGGAGAGGGCAAGACUGGUGUCAGCCGCCGCGGUAAUACCAGCUCUCCGAGUGGUGGGGACAUUUAUUGGGCCUAAAGCAUUCGUAGCCUGUUGGGCAAGUCCUCCGUUAAAUCCAACGAUUCAAUCGUUGGGCUGCGGGGGAUACUGUCCGGCUAGGGGGCGGGAGAGGCCGACGGUAUUCUCGGGGUAGGGGUGAAAUCCUAUAAUCCCGGGAGGACCACCAGUGGCGAAGGCUGUCGGCUAGAACGCGCUCGACGGUGAGGGAUGAAAGCUGGGGGAGCGAACCGGAUUAGAUACCCGGGUAGUCCCAGCUGUAAACGAUGCAGGCUAGGUGUUGACGCGGCUACGUGCCGCUUCGGUGCCGCAGGGAAGCCGUUAAGCCUGCCGCCUGGGAAGUACGUCCGCAAGGCUGAAACUUAAAGGAAUUGGCGGGGGAGCAC
rnacentral:rRNA from 1 species